rnacentral:rRNA from 1 species
GACGAACGCUGGCGGCGUGCCUAACACAUGCAAGUCGAACGGAGAUACGAUUUCGGUUGUAUCUUAGUGGCGAACGGGUGAGUAACGCGUGAGCAACCUGACUCUUAGAGGGGGAUAACACUGGGAAACGAGUGCUAAUACCGCAUAAGACCACGACAUGGCAUCAUGACGAGGUCAAAGGCGCAAUCCGCUGAGAGAGGGGCUCGCGUCCCAUUAGAUAGAGGGCGGGGUAACGGCCCACCAUGUCAACGAGGGGUAGCCGGGCUGAGAGGGUGACCGGCAACACGGGAAAGGAGACCGGUCCCAGCCCCCAACGGGAGGCAGCAGUGGGGAAUAUUGGGCAAUGGGCGAAAGCCUGCCCCAGAAACGCCGCGUGAGGGAAGAAGGCUUUCGGGUUGUAAACCUCUGUCCUUGGUGACGAAAAAAAUGACGGUGGCCAAGGAGGAAGCCCCGGCUAACUACGUGCCAGCCGCCGCGGUAA